GUCCAAUUAGCCCUUAUAAAAUUCUACACAACACCGCAAUAACAAAGAUACUACAUUAUCAUUAUUGAUCUGAGCCAUCGAUUUAAUAGUAGUUGGAUCUGAUCAUUUAAAAUAAGCAGUAAAUAAUGAGUGACAGUUAGAUUACUACAUUUGGAAGAAUAUGCUAGUAGAUGACUGAAGUAAAAAGAAUAGUAAAUGUCUGGUGAGAGCUCUGCUUGCAAGGGGUGUUGAUUCCAGUGGCGGUCUCAUUUGUUUAUGGCUUUUCGGCGAGGAUGUGAAAGUGAUGGCUCAUGGUGGUAAUCAGCUUUUAAGGUUCAUAGAGUAUAAUGGUUUUUUUGUCGUUUGGAUCCCUGCCGGAUUUCAUCUUUCGUUGCGAGAAAGUGAAGGCUUGCUCUUCAAUCCAGUUCUUGCAUUGUUUUGGCAAAAGAGGCUAGUGUGUAGUUUGGUUUCGCCGUCUUCUGUUUGCUUGUGCUUCAAAAGAUGAGUUUACUAAGAGCCAUCUAAUCUGCAAGCGACAGAAUUCGAGUAUUGGGCCUUCUUUUUGAAGUUGUCUUUGUAAUGGAGGACCCAAAAUUCUGAAGAGAUUAGAGUGAAGUAAGCAGACAGAUGUAAGACUGAGUUACGUGGACGCCACCACUUCCGUUGUGGCCACUCCACUAAGAUAGAUUUUUCCCCCUUAAAUUCUUCUGCCUCGUGACUUGCGGAGUUUAAGAUAAAAAACCUUUUGAUCUCAUACUAUCUGUUUUUCUUUUAUUACAUCAUAACAUAGCUUCAGAAUCCUUUGAUCUAUACUUGAUUCAAUUUGUUUGAUUGCCUUACAUGUGUGUUGUUUGAACCGAGUUUGGUCGGAUAUCAAUAAUAGAGACGAAACUCGUUGAUGGAUUAAUUCAAAGAGUUUUAUUAAAUCGGCGAACGAUUUGAUUACAAAUAAAAAAAUUGAUUGGAACGUAAAUCGGUGUUCGGGGAACUUUUACCAGGAAAGUACAAGUCGGUCAAACAGAUGGACCGAUUGACCCUUUUGGGUUGAGCUGGCGCACUUUUUUUGUGACGCCGAACGAAAAACUGGCCCAAACCGUUACUUGACCAGGAACCACUAACUUAACCCAACGAUUUAGGCUGAUCUGACAGAUCGAUUUCUUAUUUUAUGAGACUUGUGGAGGGAUAUAUUCUAUCUCUUACAUGUUUUCAUUCUAAAUGCAAGCAGUUAUCAUGCAUGCAUAUCUACAUGCAGUAGGGAUUAGCUACAAGACUUAUCAAAACCAGACCAUUAACUCAUUACAGCUUCCGUAUUUGGGAGUAAAGUGCUGGUUUGAGUCAAUAAGAACAUUCACUAACCACUCUAACACACGAAUUACUUGUCACCAUGUACUCGUGCGCAUGCAUGACAUCUAUUCAACACACACAUACACAUAUGUUCAUAAAAAUUAUUCAGUCAAGUAUCUACACACGUUUUAACAAAUGGACGGCAGUGUGUUAACAUUAAAUUCAAUAUAUGUUUUGUAAUAAAGGCCUCAUCAGGGCUAUCAUGGUUUUCAUGGGCCGGUAGCCAGAACAGGUUAGCAAUUAGUCCCUUCCUCGGCAAUGAGAUCAUCUUUUUUUUUACGCUGGAAAUUUCAUUGAACUUUGAAAGGAUACAACAAGAAUACAUUUGUGAAAUGCUAAGCUGACAAGUAACAAAUACAUUCAGAGUCUAAAGCCAGCAAGAACCAACCGAUUCUUCUAGAGUCAAAAGGAAUCAGAGUUAAAAUAUUGAGAUCAUCUUACCUGAGAUAUUGAGGUGCACUUUCUUUAUAAUUUUUUACGUAUGUGAAAAGGUGGUAUGGCAUGGAGACUACUUGUCAAUAAUAUCGAGGACUCUCUCGAGAUCAUUCUCACUUAAUUAACGUUAGCGUACGCCAUGAGUGAUCCACCUAUGGGAAUAAUAUUAUUAUACAUCAACAAUAUAAUAAUGCUAGUGCUUUAGGAAAACUAAAAUACAAAAAUAUUCAUUUGUCUUUUGGCAAUUUACUCUAAGAGAAUGGAUUAUAUAUUCCUCUAUAGCGACAUCUCGAAACCUUGCCACCGCUAUUUAUGAGGCUGUUGUCUAGUCCAGUAGUCCUAGUGCCCAAUCUUGAAACUCCACUAGCUAAUUUAUCUUGAAUAGCUUAACCCACACAUAUCAAACUAAUCUUAGAUAAACAUCGCAUAGGAUAAUUAAAUUGAUAUUUGUCGUUAGGAAUGCGUCAUAUUUGUUAUAUCACUGGAAGCUUUUAUAUCAUAUUUCAUGUAAUGAUCUUACACUACAAAAAAAAGAAGUGAAUUGGAUCACUUAAAUUGUAUCACAUAAUUAAAUGAUUCUAUUUCAAAUCACUUAUCUUUAAAUGAGACAAAUAAAUAUAAAGUAGCAUCAUUUAAUAAUACGUGAUAUUAUUAUUAAUUUAUUUUGCAUCAAUUCAAUAAAAUGAUAUAUUUUUCGUAUUUUGUAUCACUUUACAAAAAAUGUUACACUACAAAAAAAGAAGUGAAUUGGAUCACUUAAAUUGUA